UACGUAGGUGGCAAGCGUUGUCCGGAAUUACUGGGCGUAAAGCGUGCGCAGGCGGUUUGUUAAGCCAGAUGUGAAAGCCCCGGGCUCAACCUGGGAAUGGCGAUGGAUACUGGCGAGCUAGAGUGUGUCAGAGGAUGGUGGAAUUCCCGGUGUAGCGGUGAAAUGCGUAGAGAUCGGGAGGAACAUCAGUGGCGAAGGCGGCCAUCUGGGACAACACUGACGCUGAAGCACGAAAGCGUGGGGAGCAAACAGG
rnacentral:rRNA from 1 species